rnacentral:rRNA from 1 species
UACGUAGGGGCAAGCGUUGUCCGGAAUCAUUGGGCGUAAAGAGCGCGUAGGCGGCCCUGUAAGUCCGCUGUGAAAGUCAAGGGCUCAACCCUUGAAUGCCGGUGGAUACUGCAGGGCUAGAGUCCGGAAGAGGCGAGUGGAAUUCCUGGUGUAGCGGUGAAAUGCGCAGAUAUCAGGAGGAACACCGAUAGGCGAAGGCAGCUCGCUGGGACGGUAGCUGACGCUGAGCGCGAAAGCGUGGGGAGCAAACAGG